AUACGUAGGGGACGAGCGUUGUCCGGAAUUACUGGGCGUAAAGGGCGCGCAGGCGGAUAUUUAAGUCAGCUGUAAAAGGCAUGAGCUCAACUCAUGUAUACGGUUGAAACUGGGUAUCUAGAGUGCUGGAGAGGUAGGCGGAAUUCCCGGUGUAGCGGGGAAAUGCGUAGAUAUCGGGAAGAACACCAGUGGCGAAGGCGGCUUACUGGCCAGCAACUGACGCUGAGGCGCGAAAGCCAGGGGAGCGAACGGGAUUAGAUACCCCGGUAGUCCUGGCCGUAAACGAUGAAUGCUAGGUGUGGGUGUCGAGAGGCAUCCGUGCUGGAGUUAACGCGAUAAGCAUUCCGCCUGGGGAGUACGAUCGCAAGAUUGAAACUCAAAUGAAUUGACGGGG
rnacentral:rRNA from 1 species